rnacentral:pre_miRNA from 1 species
CCUCAGUCAGCCUUGUGGAUGUAUGUUCUGCAGACCUGACAUCUAGAGGACUGACUGAAAUU